UACGGAGGGUGCAAGCGUUAUCCGGAUUCACUGGGUUUAAAGGGUGCGUAGGUGGGUUGGUAAGUCAGUGGUGAAAUCUCCGAGCUUAACUUGGAAACUGCCAUUGAUACUAUCUUUCUUGAAUACCGUGGAGGUCAGCGGAAUAUGUCAUGUAGCGGUGAAAUGCUUAGAUAUGACAUAGAACACCAAUUGCGAAGGCAGCUGGCUACACGAAUAUUGACACUGAUGCACGAAAGCGUGGGGAUCAAACAGG
rnacentral:rRNA from 1 species